rnacentral:rRNA from 1 species
AUGUCGACCAACAUGGUUGACGAUCUCAUCAUCAAAACCAUCUAUCAUCGCGCAAUGAGCGAUCUCUGGUUGUGUCCACGUCGGCAGGGUGGUACUGUUUGCGCUGGCCAAUUGGAAGGAAACGUUCCCUUCGUAGAAAAAAAAAGGCGUGGUCAUUUCCUUCCUCGAGAAGACAGAGAGAGGACGCACGCCACCUCCUCCCCACCUUCGCCAGAUACGACCGCCCAUUCAUCGCCGCCACCCAUCGCGUCGCCCGCCCACGACCUUCUCUCAUCUUCCACCCGCGACGGCGUCCCGUCCACCUCGAGAUGUACGGCGACGGCGUCCCGAUGGAGAACCCUGGCCGCAGCUGGUCGCCGGCGCUCCUCCGCUGCGCGCCCCAGGUGA